GCUCCCAACCCAGACCACACAACCACGCUGCCCAAACGCAAUUCGAGGCCCGACUCAGCAGCGGCGACGGCGGAAUCAAUGUGUGCGAUGGCGCCGGUGGCGAGAUCCAGCGCGCCCCUUCCUCGAUCCGCGCGCCCGAGUGCGGCUUGGAUCCCGUGCGUCCUCCCGCGCACUCGAGCGGCAGCGGGAUCCCAGUCGACUCGCCCUCCCACACCCUCGAGCAAGAACGGCGACGAUGCCCUCGGCUUGCACCGGCCGCUGUUGUCCAUUGAGUUCCCGUUCCUCGCCGCCGCCAGGUGGGGAUGGAGACGCCGCUCACGGUGGUGACGGAGGCGUUCAAGGAGCUGGCGUGCGGGAUGGACGCCGACGGCGGGGAACUCCGCCUCGCGCCCUUCGACGACACCUGCGCGCUCGUCUCCAUGCUCUUCAGAAGCCUUGGCAUGGCCUUCAGGUUCGCCAAGAUCGAGUAUGUCACCAAGUUUAGCGCCAGACGACGACCCCGUUCCGCGAUCAUCCCCUUCGCGGUUGUUCCCAUGAGGUUUUUUUUUCCUGUUUUCUUUCUGGAACCAUUUGCUUAGCUUCUCUCGCACCGUUGUUUCAAUCUGUGGGGCAAAGAUCCAAGAUUUAGCACGGCGACGAGGUGAAAUCGUGCGAGCGGUGCCUGGAUUCGAUUGCCACGUUGUUUCUGACAUUUUUCAGAUCUUGCUUCUUCCACCAUCGUCCACCGAUGUUGCUCCCAAAUCUGAUUGGAUUAUUCUAUAGUUUUCUUCUUUUCACCCCAAAAAAUUGAAACCUUUUCUCUUCCUUCAAGAAAGCACCUGAAAGGAGCGUUGCCACGUUGAUUUAACUUACUGUCGAUUGUGCAGCUGUGCAGCAGUCGUGCGCGGGCCGACGCGAGACGGCAACGCGCGCGCAGGAGGCGACGGCUCGCGGCGCAGCGGCCAAGCAAGAUGCGGCGUGUGGCUGCUGCAUAGAUACGUUUGUGUUUGUGCAUAGAUACUAUUAGUUGACUGUUUGCCCAUGCUUGCAAUAAUAUACAUGCUAGUGUCUGACCAUAUAUAGAUACUAUCCGUUUGCUGCUAGUCUCUUCUAUGCAUAGAUUAUAGUAUCAUACACAUGCUACCCAUGCUUUUAUGAUUGCCCUUACUGGUUUUUAUGCCUUUUGGUACCAAGGGUGGGUUGCCGAGGAGAAUCCAAUUGAUGACAGCUCCCGCAAUGUGUCAUAUAUUUGUCUAGUACUUUCCUCCCAUGUUUAUAUGAUUGUCUUACUGGUUUAUAUGUCUGCCAACACUGGUUUAUAUGUCUGCCAAAACUGUUUAUAUGUCUGGUGGUUUUUCCAUCAUAUACAAGUAGCUGCAUAUAUAUGUAUGAUUGCAAUCAUAUAUUUGUUAAGUUGAUUUUCAUUUCUAAUUAUAUUCAUUCACUCAUGAGAUUUCUAUGCUAACAUAGCACCCUUUCUACACAGGUUGUAGGGAAUGGGAAUGUAUUUCUAGGCCUAGCUCUGCUAUUGUUGUAUGGUUCUUUUGUCUGGUCGGUUGCAGUAGAUUAGGAUAGGUUUAUCUAGGAUCAGAAAUAGGAUGGUUCUUUAUGAUCUCAAUCUAUUUUUGGUACUCCAUUGGAGCAUCCAUCUAUUAGAUGCAUGCUUCUAUGCUUGGCCUUACAUGUUUCUUUUUAUGCAUAGAUACUAAAUAUCUUAAACGUCUGAGCAUAGAUACUGACUUGUAUCUUAUAUUUCUAUGAUUGCCCUCAAUGGUUUUUGUACCUUUUGUUGCUACAUGUAGUUGCUUAAUUAGAUAUAUGUGAUUGCAGCCAUAUAUUUGUUUUGUUAUUUUUUCUCUCAUGUUUCUAUGACUGCACUAACUGAUUUUUAUGCUUUUUUUAAUAGUGAGGUGUGUUGCUUAUGAGGAUUUGCCGGACGAUAACUUCCACAACUGCAAGCUAGCAUCAUAGUCCUCACCAACGGAGUGCAAACAUCAUUGAUUUUGUAUUCUUAGUUUGUACAUCUUUAAGAAUUUUAUAGUUCGCAUAAUUGUUUACAACAUGGCUAGAGCAUGAUGGGCGAAUUUUGUUCCUAGUUUGUACAUCUCUUUAAGAAUUUUUGUUCUUGAUUUUGUAUUCUUAGUUCUUGAGCAUGAUGGCUAGAACACAAUUGUUCUUGAUGCACAAUUUUGUUCUUUAAGAAUUUGAUUCAAAUUUUAGAUAGAUAUUGGUUUCUAUGCUUC